GUUUAGAUAGCUUAAUACAAAGCAUAGCACUGAAAAUGCUAAGACGGACCCUAAAAAGUCCUCCAAACG
rnacentral:tRNA from 1 species